rnacentral:rRNA from 1 species
CCAUUUAAGGGAGGCAGCAGGCGCGCAAUUACCCAAUCCUGACUCAGGGAGGUAGUGACAAGAAAUAACAAUAAACCGGCUUAUGCCGGUUUAAUUGGAAUGAGUACAAUUUAAACAUCUUAACGAGGAACAAUUGGAGGGCAAGUCUGGUGCCAGCAGCCGCGGUAAUUCCAGCUCCAAUAGCGUAUACUAAAGUUGUUGCAGUUAAAAAGCUCGUAGUUGGAUUUCUGUGGGGACGGAGCGGCCGGCCGCACAUCGCGGUUCGAGCUAGCGCUUUCCCUACAUCCUGCCGCGAACCGUGCUACCAUUAGUUUGGUGGCGCCGGGGAUCGGCUCGAUUACUUUGAGAAAAAUAGAGUGUUCAAAGCAGGCCACAUGCCUUGAAUAAGUUAGCAUGGAAUAAUAACUAAGGACUUCGGUUCUAUUUUGUUGGUGUUCGGGACUGAAGUAAUGAUUGAUAGGGACAGUUGGGGCGGUCUGUAUUCCAAAGCGAGAGGUGAAAUUCUUAGACCUUCGGAAGACAAACAGCUGCGAAAGCGUUCCGCAAGGAUGUUCCCUUUGAUCAAGAACGAAAGUUGGGGGAUCGAAGACGAUCAGAUACCGUCGUAGUCUCAACUAUAAACUAUACCAGCUAGGGAUCGGCCAACGUUAUUUUAUACCGACUUGGUCGGCACCUUAUGAGAAAUCAAAGCAUCUGGGUUCCGGGGGGAGUAUGGUCGCAAGGCUGAAACUUAAAGGAAUUGACGGAAGGGCACCACCAGCCGUGGAGCCUGUGGCUUAAUUUGACUCAACACGGGAAAACUUACCAGGUCCAGACAUAGUAAGGAUUGACAGAUUGAUAGCUCUUUCUUGAUUCUGUGGGUGGUGGUGCAUGGCCGUUCUUAGUUGGUGGAGUGAUUUGUCUGGUUAAUUCCGUUAACGAACGAGACCCCAGCCUGCUAAAUAGCGCGAGUGAGCUUUGCUCGCUGCGAGCUUCUUAGAGGGACUAUGAUGCGCGAUAGCACAUGGAAGUUUGGGGCAAUAACAGGUCUGUGAUGCCCUUAGAUGUUCUGGGCCGCAAACGGGCUACACUGGCGCCUGCAACGAGCAUAUCAGCUGGCCCGAGAGGGUCUUGGCUAAUCUUUUGAACCGGCGCCGUGCUUGGGAUUGACCUUUGCAAUUGUUGGUCAUGCAACGAGGAAUGCCUUGUAAACGCGAGUCAUCAGCUCGCAUUGAAUACGUCCCUGCCCUUUGUACACACCGCCCGUCGCUCCUACCGAUGAAUGUUCCGAUGAAAUUUUCGGAGAGCACCUGUGAACUUGGCUCUGCCUUGCGAACGGGAGGCUCAAAGUCACUAAAAUCUGAACAUUU